AACGAACGCUGGCGGCAGGCCUAACACAUGCAAGUCGAACGUGAAGCCACCUUCGGGUGGUGGAAAGUGGCAGACGGGUGAGUAACGCGUGGGAACGUGCCUUUCGGUUCGGAAUAACCCAGGGAAACUUGGGCUAAUACCGGAUACGCCCUUCGGGGGAAAGAUUUAUCGCCGAAGGAUCGGCCCGCGUCGGAUUAGCUAGUUGGUAGGGUAAUGGCCUACCAAGGCGACGAUCCGUAGCUGGGCUGAGAGGAUGACCCGCCACAAUGGAACUGAGACACGGCAGAGACUCCUCCGGGAGGGAGCAGUGGGGAAUAUUGGACAAUGGGCGAAAGCCCGAUCCAGCCAUGCCGCGUGGGUGAAGAAGGCCCUAGGGUUGUAAACCCCUUUCAGCGGGGAAGAUAAUGACGGUACCCGCAGAAGAAGCCCCGGCUAACUCCGUGCCAGCCGCCGCGGUAACAC
rnacentral:rRNA from 1 species